CACUGAGUGAGCAGCCAGACAAAACAGCACACAGCUCCACUUAUACAAAACACCACAACAGGCACACACUAGAGACAUGGUGUAUGUGAGUGACUGGUGGGAGUAGGUGUUGGGGAUAGACCAUUAAGAGUUCAAGGUUUCUUUUUUCGGAUGAUGAAAAGACACUAGAUGUUAAGAUGAAUGCCUGAACACUAAAACUACUGUUAACUCUAUCUGAGUAUAUUUUCUGAGCUAUGACUCUUAUCUCAAUAGAGAGAAGGAUCAUGAGAAGGAUCUAGAGGAGAGGGAACAUUCCAAAGGAAGAAAAGGAAAGUGGAAAAACUAGCCUGGCCUCAAAGACUAGCAAUAUGCACAGAUGAUGAAUUUAGAUGUGUCCAACCAAGUGCAUGGGGACAGGGUGGGUACAGACCACACAGGAGCCGUGUGCUUUACACAGGAGACUGCAGCCACGUGGACUUUAUUCUAACAGUAUCACUGAAACCAGGGAAACGUGGUGGUGCGUGCUGUUGGGUAGAGAGGAAGUAGGCAACAAGAGCAGAAAGAGGAGACGUAUCUGGAGCUUCUGCAGCAGUACAGACAAGAGUGCAAUUUUGGACUUGCGAGCUUGGUGGUGGUGGUGAGCAAUGGUCAAAUAAAUGUCAAAGGGAUUUCCCAGCGAAUCACACACAGGGCAUAAAAGAGAGGUUGAGACUGACCCCAAAAUUUGUCUGAAUGAAGGAGUAUAUGAAACAGCUAUCUACUAAAACGGGGAAGCCUCAGGAAAGAGUGCAGGAGGGAAGCGGGGGCUCUCACAUUUGGGGUGCCCGAUGCUGUAGACACAAGCAAGGCUUUAGAGUAUGAAGGUCCAACUGGCAUGCAUAUCCAAGGCCAUGUGGGAGACAUUUAAUGGCCCCUGGAGAUAGCGAGUCAAAGGACAAAGUCCUGGGCAUGCCAACACACGGAUUCUUAGAAGAUUGGACACAAAGUGUGCCCCUGGUAGAGAGCAGCCUAUUAGAAGAAAAAGUCCUAACCAUACUUCCCCUGCUCCCCACAAUUUCCUCUUAGAUUUAAAAAAUCUAACCAAAUGGAAAUGAAGAUGACUAUGCUCAGUGAAAUAAGCUACCUGGAUAUUCCAUGUUUUCUCUUUCUAGACUUAAGCAGAGGGAAGAUAGAGACCACAGGAGGAGGAAAAUGGGGUGAGUGAAUAAAAACAAGGCAGAAUGGUACAGCCCAUGGAAAUGUCCAAAAAGACCUAUUUCCAUGCAUGCUAACCAAAAAGUUAACAAGGACAUUAAAGAUACAGUCAAAAAAUAAAAAAUCAUGAGACACAAUUAAUUAUAGAACUGUUUAAAAUUCUAAAAGAUUAGAAAUAAUCUGAAUGUUAGCAUUAGUGGGGGCUAUGAUAAACAACAGUCCACCUGCAACAAAAUAGAGGGACUAAACCCACACUGCCCAGUGAAGGCUUUGCUAAGAGCAGUGGCACAGCCAACUUCCACCAGAAGCUGAUGCAUAGAAGGACCUGUCUAUGCACUUGUAGGUUAUCUCUGAGUCGACAUGCAACCCAUUACUAAAUAUCAAGGCAUCCGAAAUGGCUGAUUCAUUAUGGUACAACUAAAAAGCCACAAGAUGCCACAUCUCUAAACAACAAUGUAAACAUAAAAAUGUUCACUGUAAAGCCUGGCAGAGGUAGCACAGGACUUUAAUCCCAGAACUGGGAGGCAGAAGCAGGCAGGUGGAUCUGAGUUCGAGGCCAGCCUGGUCUACAAAGUGAGUUUCAGGAUAGCCAGGGUCACACAAAAAAACCUUGUCUCAAAAUAAACAACAAACAAGCAAACAAUGUUAAUGGUAAAUGAAGGUUAGGAGGGCUGUAUAUUUUACUCACUAUCUCUUGGGUGGGUAAGAAAUAUACAUCCAUAAGAGCCUGGAAAGACACACAAAAUGUUUCUGCUAUACAUUGCAGGGAAGAAACUUGGGCUUUUCUUUUGCUGUCUGGUUCUCCUAAAUUAGUUUUAUAGCAAACAUGUGUGGCUUCUGUUCCUGAACAUAGUAAAUGAUACUUUGGGGUGAAAGGAAGAAUGUAUAAAAAUCCAAAGCUAUGUAUUUUCCAUUUUUCCGUCUCAGCUGGCAUGGGGACAUACUGGUGAUCCCAGCAGCACAGAGCUAGAGGAAGGCAGUGUGUCCCAAUUGCAAGGCUAAUCCAGGCUACAUAACAAGAUCUUGUCUCAAAACAAAACCAGUCUAUGUGUAGGAAAAAAAAAGGGGGGGGGGCCUCUUUAAUCUAGUAAUAAAGAUGUUUGUAAAAUAAAUAUAAAAUGGGUAGAAACAUUGUUUUAUUGGGGAAACAUGUAAUUUACUUUCAGUUUUUAAGAAUACCUAGCAAGCAUCCAAGAAGAAAGCACACAUAGUUUCAAAGGAACAAGGACAGACAAAUGGGCUGGUGGCCACCCCAGGGACACUGCCUUGAAAAGUAAGUAAGGUGAGUGUCAUAAAUAAGACUUUCUUACUUUAUAAGAAGGAAAAAUCAAGAUCCUGUUUUGAUGUGUAUUAAAUACAAAAUAUAAAAUACUCUCUGACCCAGACGAGGGGUGGAAAAUCAUCCAUCCAACACCUCUAGGCUCAUGCAAUAAAAUCCAGAGGUCUGUUGAAUCCGCCUUUUCGAUUC